UACGGAGGGUGCAAGCGUUAUCCGGAUUCACUGGGUUUAAAGGGUGCGUAGGUGGGCAGGUAAGUCAGUGGUGAAAUCUCCGUGCUUAACACGGAAACUGCCAUUGAUACUAUGUUUCUUGAAUUUUCUGGAGGUUAGCGGAAUAUGUCAUGUAGCGGUGAAAUGCUUAGAUAUGACAUAGAACACCGAUUGCGAAGGCAGCUAACUACAGGGAUAUUGACACUGAGGCACGAAAGCGUGGGGAGCAAACAGG
rnacentral:rRNA from 1 species